GACAGAGGGUGCAAACGUUUGUUCGGAAUUACUGGGCGUAAAGCGUGUGUAGGCGGCUAGGUAAGUCGGAUGUGAAAGCCCCGGGCUCAACUCGGGAAGUGCACUCGAUACUGCUUAGCUCGAGUACCGGAGAGGUUGGUGGAAUUCUCGGUGUAGAGGUGAAAUUCGUAGAUAUCGAGAGGAACACCGGUGGCGAAGGCGGCCAACUGGACGAGUACUGACGCUGAGACACGAAAGCGUGGGGGAGCAAACGGG
rnacentral:rRNA from 1 species